GAAAUGCGAUAAGUAAUGUGAAUUGCAGAAUUCAGUGAAUCUUCGAAUCUUUUAACGCACCUUGCGCUCCUUGGUAUUCCUUGGAGCAUGCCUGUUUGAGUAUCAUGAAAUCUUCAAAGUAAAUCUUUUGUUAACUCAAUUGGUUUCUACUUUGGUAUUGGAGGUCUUUGCAGCUUCACACCUGCUCCUCUUUGUUCAUUAGCUGGAUCUCAGUGUUAUGCUUGGUUCCACUCGGCGUGAUAAGUUAUCUAUCGCUGAGGACACUGUAAAAGGUGGCCAAGGUAAAUGCAGAUGAACCGCUUCUAAUAGUCCAUUGACUUGGACAAUACUUUUAUGAUCUGAUCUCAAAUCAGGUAGGACUACCCGCUGAACUUAAGC
rnacentral:misc_RNA from 1 species